rnacentral:rRNA from 1 species
CCUACGAGCGGCAGCAGUGAGGAAUAUUGGUCAAUGGGCUAAGGCCUGAACCAGCCAAGUCGCGUGAGGGAAGACGGUCCUAUGGAUUGUAAACCUCUUUUGUCGGGGAGCAACGAGGCCACGUGUGGCCGAAGUGAGAGUACCCGAAGAAAAAGCAUCGGCUAACUCCGUGCCAGCAGCCGCGGUAAUACGGAGGAUGCGAGCGUUAUCCGGAUUUAUUGGGUUUAAAGGGUGCGUAGGCGGAACAUUAAGUCAGCGGUAAAAACGAGGGGCUCAACCCCUUUAAGCCGUGGAAACUGGUGAGGUUGAGAGGGCGAGAAGUAUGCGCAAUGUGUGGUGUAGAGGUGAAAUGCACAGAGAUCACACAGAACACCGAUAGCGAAGGCAGCAUA